GUGGUGACCAAUCGGGAUACGCAGGCGUACACGUGCACAGGCCGCUUAUUGGCUGGAGCAAGGCACAGUCCUGGGGCAGUGACCAAUAGUAAGGCGGUGCGCCCAUGUGGACAGAUAGUGGGAAACAAUAUUUGUUAGGGAGGGGGCGGAACCGGGAAUCUCCGGCUCUCAGAGAGUCAGUCGUUCCCAUGGUUACGAACGGGGGCGGGGUUUCUGGCAGCAAGGGGGAGUGUUUGCAGAAGUCGUAGGGUUCGCUCUGGAAUAUGAAGUUGCGGCUCCAACUGGCGUGUAUUUAUGAUUUAAUCUGGAUUUAAUACUCGUGGGGGAAAGACGUGCCCUGGAAAAUGGAACUCAGCAAUAAUUCUCUUGAAAGUUUGAAGGGAGAAAACGUAUGUGAGAAAAGAGAACUGAGGAUGGGAAACAAGAGUAAACAAAAUACAACCAAAAAAAGAAAUACUGGGGACAGAUUUGCUUGACGCUCCCAUUUGAUGGAGAGGCAGGACUCUUUUGCUAAAGAUACCUUAUUCUGAAUAGCAGAAAGGUCUGCCUUCUUCCUGCAUGGCUCACACAUGCAUAAUGCAGGUGAAUUGUGACAGCAACAGAAGAAGCACGUCAAGGAAGUGUUUCCUGAGACUGAACUGAUAGAUUACGGUUCCAUUACUGAAACCGAACAGGCAAACAUGAGAACAAGACACACAAGAUAAGUAACAAUUAAGGAUCUUAAAUAAAUAUGAUGAGAUCCGUAUUGAACGCCGAGUCAAUGGGAAGAGCUGGUCUGUGACCAAACAUCAUCUGUUCUACAUAAUUGCCCUUUACCAUUCUGUUGCCCCACAGGCGUCUGCCCUGAUGGAUAUUGCCACUUGGUAACUGACUAGGAUGGAUUCCACAAAACACCUUCUUGCAACUAUUUGGGGGCUCAUGAGGAAUUCUAAUUGGAUUAAAUAAUAAAAUCAAUGGAAAUCGUAAAGCUUUCCUAUAGUGUAAAUUAUAAAAAGUUUAAAAAAUCA